rnacentral:rRNA from 1 species
GAUGAACGCUGGCUACAGGCUUAAUAUAUGCAAGUCGAGGGGAAACGACGGGGAAGCUUGCUUCCCCGGGCGUCGACCGGCGCACGGGUGAGUAACCCCUAUCCAACCUGCCCCUGACUGAGGGACCACCCGUCAAAAGUCCGCCUACCACCUCCUGGUGUCGUCGGCGGGCAUCCAUCAACUAUAAACUUUCCCCCCGCCCGGCCCGCGCAUACUUUACAUACUUCUU